rnacentral:rRNA from 1 species
UGCUUAACACAUGCAAGUCGAACGGAAACGAUACUAGCUUGCUAGUAGGCGUCGAGUGGCGGACGGGUGAGUAACGCGUAGGAAUCUGCCUGAUAGUGGGGGAUAGCCCGGAGAAAUUCGGAUUAAUACCGCAUAAUCUAUUCGUAGUAAAGUGGGGGACUUUCGAGCCUCACGCUAUCAGAUGAGCCUGCGUAAGAUUAGCUUGUUGGUAGGGUAAAAGCCUACCAAGGCGACGAUCUUUAGCUGGUCUGAGAGGAUGAUCAGCCACAUCGGGACUGAGACACGGCCCGAACUCCUACGGGAGGCAGCAGUGGGGAAUAUUGGACAAUGGGGGCAACCCUGAUCCAGCAAUACCGCGUGUGUGAAGAAGGCCUGAGGGUUGUAAAGCACUUUCAAUUGUGAAGAAAAGUUAACGGUUAAUAACCGUUAGCCUUGACGUUAACUUUAGAAGAAGCACCGGCUAACUCCGUGCCAGCAGCCGCGGUAAUACGGAGGGUGCAAGCGUUAAUCGGAAUUACUGGGCGUAAAGCGUGCGUAGGCGGUUUAUUAAGUCAGAUGUGAAAGCCCCGGGCUUAACCUGGGAACUGCAUUUGAAACUGGUAAACUAGAGUAUGGUAGAGGAAAGUGGAAUUUCUGGUGUAGCGGUGAAAUGCGUAGAUAUCAGAAGGAACAUCAAUGGCGAAGGCAGCUUUCUGGACCAAUACUGACGCUGAGGUACGAAAGCGUGGGUAGCAAACAGGAUUAGAUACCCUGGUAGUCCACGCCGUAAACGAUGAUAACUAGCCGUUGGGGGGAUUUACCCUUUAGUGGCGAAGCUAACGCGUUAAGUUAUCCGCCUGGGGAGUACGGCCGCAA